AGCCCUAUGGUGUAAUGGUAGCACAUCAGAUUCUGGAUCUGCUUGUCUUGGUUCGAAUCCAGGUAGGGCUACAA
rnacentral:tRNA from 1 species